UACAGAGGUCUCAAGCGUUGUUCGGAUUCAUUGGGCGUAAAGGGUGCGUAGGCGGCGCGGUAAGUCGGGUGUGAAAUCUCGGGGCUUAACUCCGAAACUGCAUUCGAUACUGCCGUGCUUGAGGACUGGAGAGGAGACUGGAAUUUACGGUGUAGCGGUGAAAUGCGUAGAUAUCGUAAGGAGACCAGUGGCGAAGGCGGGUCUCUGGACAGUUCCUGACGCUGAGGCACGAAGGCCAGGGGAGCAAACGGGG
rnacentral:rRNA from 1 species